rnacentral:lncRNA from 1 species
CAAGUUUAUCUUUCUACACCAUUUAAUUUCCAUCUUCUAUUUACAAUUUUAUUUCUAAAAUCUUUUUUUUUAUAAAAAUUAAAAUUAUCAAAUCAAAGCACUGCCUUCUUUAUGGAUUCAACCUGACUCGCUAUUCUCUACGUGUUUUUAAUUUAUUAAGAAGUUGGAUAUUUAAACUGAUAAACACGGUGUCCUAACGAUAA